UCGCCCGGGCGUUAAUUUUACCGAAAUUUUACCCUGUUUAUUGAAGAAUAUGACUGGUACAAUUGCAAGGCAGUGAAAAUUUCUGCUGCUAUGUCAUUCUCUGGAUUGAAAACGAUUAUCCCUCUCUAACACCAUAACGACACUUUUCAAGUAACCGAGCUGCAUGUGAUAUAAAACCGGUUAUCCAGAAAUGGGAGUAAGUCGGCUGUGGCUGAUCGACCGAGAUGGACGAGUGUUCAUAUUUGACCUACGGGACAAGUCUUGGCGUUAUAUAACAACUCCUAAACUUGGAUCAAGGAAUUUUUUUAAGCGUGUUUCAGCAGUGGAGCAGUGUGCAUGGGCAAUCAGUGCCAGUCAACAGCCUUAUUUGUUUGUUCACGCAACUGAACUUCCUAUCAGAGUGAAGGUGGAAACAUAUGAGAAUCAGCGCUGGGGAAUUCUUAAUAAAUGGUCGCAUAAAUCGAUGUUCCCCUCUGAUCGAUGGCAAUUUAGCAGUAAAGAUGGAAAGCGGUCUCUCCCAAAGGAAUCAUUUAAGUUGCCAUCAGUAGAAUGGAUAUGGGAAGGAGACUGGUACAUUGAUCGUGGUCUUGAUGGCGAUAGUGAUGGUUGGCAAUAUGCUCUUGAUUUUCCAAGAACCUAUCAUCCACAACAGAGUACAACAUCUUGUGUAAGAAGGCGAUUGUGGUCAAGAUAUUACAGAUUUGAUGGCUAUGACCGCUGGAUUAAGGUUCCUGGUUUAAGUGAAGACCCAGGAAAGGAUCCCCUCCAAGACAUUGCUGUUGGUGGCGCAGUUAUUCCCGGAAGAGAUCCUGGUUAUCUGGCAGUCUGGGCAGUUACGUUUCAGGGAAAGGUUAUUUACCGUUCUGGGGUGUCUGACAAAUGUCCUGAAGGUGAAAAGUGGAUAGUGGUCCCUUCCCCCCAAAUCAGCAUCACACAGCUGUCUGUGAGCCCGUCAGGAGUGGUGUGGGGAGUAACAUGGGAAGGAGUGGCUGUGGUUCGGGUUGGAGUCUCUUUCUAUGAACCAACUGGAACAGCUUGGCAAAAAGUGGCAUCCCCAGAUGCAGCACCAGAACUGGAACCAUGUCAUCUUUUACAAGUAUCUGCUGGACUGAGCUGUCUGUGGGCCUUAACCAAAGAUGGCCAGGUUUGGUUUAGAAAAGGUUUGUCAAGAGCAAGUGAUAGCGAAACUACUGUGACUGGGUCCAGAUGGGUGCAAAUGGUUGGAAAAUUUUCCCUAAUUACUGUUGGUUUAAAUGACCAGGUCUUUGCUCUCAGUACUCUGGGGGACCACAUUUAUUUUCGCACAGAUGUGACGUCUGACGAACUUGUGGGAAGGACAUGGAAGGUCGUGCACAUGAACAAGCCCCUAAUAUCAUGCAGCGAAGCCACCAGCCUAGAUACAGUCAGCUCUGACGGCAGCAGCUCUGACGGCAGCAGCUCAGCUGAAAAUAGUGAAAGUGUCUUCACUGAGUCUGAUGACAGCUUCAGUCUCGCCAAUCCAUCUAACCUUCCGUCCAACAUCGAAUUUUUGACUUGGCUCAGCAGUGGAGCUUGUGAGGUGGACUCUUCGAUAUUCACCGAGAUAAGUGGCAGUCUGGUUUCCUCGGCCAGCAGCAUGAAUCUAAGUUUAAGUAGUAGGAAUGCCGCCUGGAGGAAGAGCGUAAUAAAGCGACUGCGGGAAAGAGACAACAAGGAAACAGGGCACUACAACAAGUACGAAGAAGGUAUCUCACAGGGUGAAUGGUGUAAAAAGGCUCGUUUCCAGAUGCUGUCCGCUGCAGAUUCCAACCUGUGGUACGAGUGUAUGGUGAAACUCGACCAAGGAACCGAGGGACGGCCAGAUGCUUUGCAUUGCUACUAUGAGAAAAAUUCUCAGUAUGAAGAAAUGCGGAUUCCUUUGCGAGACAUUAAAUGUGUAUGUACUACUCACAAAAUGUCGCGGAAUAACUGUUUCGCUGUACACACGCCUUUAAGAACUCAAGAACGAAACCCUCUGGUGAUCUAUACCGGAUCUGAAAAAGAACUCAUUGACUGGGUCACAACACUGGCCAGUGCUGCCUCACGGGUACAUAACUGCGAGGGGUCCCCUUCAUCAAGGGCCAUCUGGACCACAUCUCUUUGCGGUGACGUUUUCUUUUGCGAGCCGCCUCCACCAGAAACUGAGAUGCAACCAGCUCAAUUAUUUUGGCGGCAAGUUGGCGGACAUAUGCGUAAAGUAGAAGCCGGUGUGUCUGGAGUAGUGUGGGCAAUUGGUUUUGAUGGAAUGCCUUAUUACUACUCUGGGGGAUAUGGUGGAGGUAUUUUUAGUGGUUUUGACAGCAGUAUGUCUGGAAUUUACCAACAGGAGGAUUACGACUGGCAUUAUAUUUAUGAGAAUCAGAGAUGGAACCCUUUGGAAGGAUACUCUGAUAGGCGCCUUCCAAGUGACCGGUGGAACUGGAGUGAUGAGAGCGGAGUGUAUGAACGUACAAGGGAGGGGUACGUGCUUCCAUCUAGUCAGUGGCAGUGGACUGAGGAGUGGACAGUAGAGACCAAACCAAACAUUACAGAUAAGGAUGGCUGGCAGUAUGCUGUAGACUUUCCAAGGGUCUAUCGUCGAGAGCGUGGCUGGAAUGACUAUGUAAGGCGGAGACGAUGGAAAAGACGAUGUAAACUGACCACUACUGGGCCAUGGAUCCAAGUGACGCCUCAAGUCAGAUUACGUGACGUAUCGAUUCAAACUGAUUCACUGGAUGGUUCCAUAGCGGUGUGGACGGUUGGGACAAAAGGUGAUGUCUUAUAUCGACAUGGAGUGGCCGAGGAUUGUCCGCAGAUCCAUGGGACUUGAACCGAUUAGCCCCGUGAUACCGGUGCGAUUCUCUGCCAACUGAGCUACAAUGAAGCCACUGAUCGGGAGCCAGCUCAUUUGGGUCCUCUUGGGAGCACAUUUUGACGGACCUGCCAUUUAUCAGUAUCUCCGUGGGCAGUAAAAGACGCGUUUGGGGGAUAGCUGAG
rnacentral:misc_RNA from 1 species